UCCCUAGUGGCUCAGAUGGUACAGAAUCUGCCUGCAAUGCGGGAGACCCAGGUUCGAUCCCUGGGUUGGGAA
rnacentral:tRNA from 1 species